AUCGCUUCUCGGCCUCUUGGCUCAGAUCAAGUGUAGUAUCUGUUCUUAUCAGUUUAAUAUCUGAUACGUCCCCCAUAGGGGGACCGUCUAUAUUAAAUGGAUUUUUGGAAGCGGGAGAUGGAAGCGGGGCUUGCUCCGUCCACUCCGCUGAGACGGUCCCCCCCAUGGAGGGGACCGGCUAUAUUAA